UACGGGGGGGGGCAAGCGUUGUUCGGAAUUACUGGGCGUAAAGGGCUCGUAGGCGGCCAACUAAGUCAGACGUGAAAUCCCUCGGCUUAACCGGGGAACUGCGUCUGAUACUGGAUGGCUUGAAUCCGGGAGAGGGAUGCGGGAUUCCAGGUGUAGCGGUGAAAUGCGUAGAUAUCUGGAGGAAUACCGGUGGCGAAGGCGGCAUCCUGGACAGUGACUGACGCUGAGACGCGAAAGCGUGGGGAGCGAACAGG
rnacentral:rRNA from 1 species